AGAGACUUAGUUAAAAAAUAACACUGGUCUGUCAGUCCAGAAGUUGCGGAGUAUAUCGCAGUCUCUU
rnacentral:tRNA from 1 species